CGACCGGCGCACGGGUGAGUAACACGUAUGCAACCUGGCCGUCACAGGUGGAUAACCGGAAGAAAUUCCGACUAAUACAGCAUAACACUCCUGAGGGACAUCCUUCGGGAGUCAAAGGAGGCAACUCCGGUGACGGAUGGGCAUGCGGCGCAUUAGGUAGUUGGUAGGGUAACGGCCUACCAAGCCGACGAUGCGGUAGGGGUUCUGAGAGGAACGGUCCCCCACAUUGGAACUGAGACACGGUCCAAACUCCUACGGAAGGCAGCAG
rnacentral:rRNA from 1 species